GGUCUUAUAGUAUAGUGGUUAGUACGUCGCGUUGUGGUUGAACGACCCGCGAAGACCUGUGUUCGAUUCACGGUAAGGCCA
rnacentral:tRNA from 1 species